rnacentral:rRNA from 1 species
GAUGAACGCUAGCGGGAGGCUUAAUACAUGCAAGUCGAGGGGUAACAGGGGACUUCGGUCCUGCUGACGACCGGCGAACGGGUGAGUUACGCGUACGCAACUUGCCUUCAAGCGGAGGAUAGCCCCGGGAAACUGGGAUUAAUACUCCAUAGUAUCAUAGAAUCGCAUGGUUUUAUGAUUAAAGAUCCGUUGCUUGAAGAUAGGCGUGCGUGCUAUUAGCUAGUUGGUAAGGUAGUGGCUUACCAAGGCUACGAUAGCUAGGGGGCGUGAGAGCGUGGCCCCCCACACGGGUACUGAGACACGGACCCGACUCCUACGGGAGGCAGCAGUAAGGAAUAUUGGACAAUGGGCGCAAGCCUGAUCCAGCUAUCCCGCGUGCAGGAUGACGGCCCUAUGGGUUGUAAACUGCUUUUAUACAGGAAGAAACGCUUCCAUUUAUGGGAGCCUGACGGUACUGUACGAAUAAGCACCGGCUAACUCCG